rnacentral:rRNA from 1 species
GACUACUGGGGUAUCUAAUCCCGUUUGCUCCCCUAGCUUUCGCGCCUCAGCGUCGAUCUCGGUCCAGGAUGCCGCCUUCGCCACCGGUGUUCCUCCAGAUAUCUACGCAUUUCACCGCUACACCUGGAAUUCCACAUCCCUCUCCCGAAUCCAAGCCUCCCAGUAUCAGACGCAGUUCCCAGGUUAAGCCUGGGGCUUUCACGUCCGACUUAGAAGGCCGCCUACGCGCCCUUUACGCCCAGUAAUUCCGAACAACGCUUGCCACCUCUGUAUUACCGCGGCUGCUGGCACAGAGUUAGCCGUGGCUUCCUCAACCGGUACCGUCAGUCUUCAACGUAUUAGGUUGAAGCUUUUCGUCCCGAUCAACAGGAGUUUACAAUCCGAAGACCUUCAUCCUCCACGCGGCGUUGCGUCGUCAGGCUUGCGCCCAUUGCGAAAAAUUCCCCACUGCAGCCCCCCGUAGG